UGUGUCGAAGUGACUGCAUUCUGACUUCUCCAAUGGUUGGGAAUGCCUGUUCUGGUCUGUACCUACCCCAGCCUCCUUGAGAGUUAAGUAAUAAAUAUUGUGCUAAUUGCAGUUGUUAAUAGAGGCCUCAAACUUGAGGUGUUAGAAUCGUUUUCAGAGCUUUUUGUCAAAACAGACCACUAAUUAAGUAUUUCUCGGUGACACCAGAGCUGAUCAUCUGGGGACUGUACUUGGAGCACAGUGGCUUAGCUGACAUUGGAAGAAGGUGAUGGCGUGGAAGCAUGCUGGAAAAUGAGCAGGAUUAAUCCAGGCGGUCAAAUAUGUACACAUGAUUUCAUUUCGCAGCUUUCCUUUAAAAGAUCCCAUGUAUUGCAGGAUGGCCUGGAACUCCAUAUAUACAUAUAUAUAUCAAGACUGACUGUGGAUUUUUAAUCGUACUGCCUCCACCUCCUGAGUGACACCAUGCCAAUUCUAUGCAUCGCUGGGGAUCUAACCCAGGGCUUUAAGUGUGCUAAACCCAUUUCGUCCUCCUGGCAACAUCCACACGCAGUCCGUGGAAACGGCUAAAGACCCUGAAGUUCUUGCUUGAACUAUUCAAGGGAAAGCCCCCUUCAUAACGACAUGGAAGGAGCGCCCAAGGUCCACUCACCGUGCUAGAGAGUCCCAGACCCUUCUGAUGUGGUCAGGCUCAAAGUAGAGGCAGCAACGAAGGAUUUGAAUAAGUUCAAAAGAGGGUACGUCCCACACACGUGAGGCGAGUCCGGAAUGCGCAUAAACGAAAAAAGCCAAACUUGACCUUUCCGAUUGUAAUCUAAAAUAUCUCUACACUGAAACUCCCACGGAGAGCAAGGUAAGCGGGCGGCCCACGUGGCACCUGUCACAUGGUGGGAUGCCAUUCCAUUAAAACACUCUGUUACUAACGUCUCUUUUUCCAAGUCCUCGGGUUUCCGUCUCAGUCUCACCCCAAACAUAGGGCAGAUGUGGGGUAUGCACUCUGUCUUGCCCGAGUUUACAACAGGAUUGCUUCUAUCAGAUCUAAACUAAAGGCCACAAGGGCAGUUAUUUAUUGCGGGAAGGCGCACACCUUUUCAAAGAUAAAAUGCAAGCCACGGAAAGCACGCCGACUUGGACAGAGGCGGACCCACGGGCCCGCCACCUUCAAGGGCACAACUUCCUAGGAAGCUCUUUCCUCAAAGUCAAAGCGGGAAGGAACCCCAGAUCAUUAUGCAACCGCGGUGGACGCACAAAGCAGGCAUCUCCAGCGGCGACAAAAGCCAGGGGGUCAGGCACCAACUGCCUUCCCGCCCUGCGUUCAUUCAAACCCUCAGGACAAGUGCAGCUUAUCCCGUCCACAGGUGCGGCGGGGCACGUUGGGGUCCUUCCCCCAAGAAACCACAGCAGCCCCCAGCCAGCCAGAUCUGUUCCUUGUCUCCGGGGCGCCACGAGAUCCCCAUGACCAGUGCCACUCACCUGCAGCCACGGUCACCUGGGCAAGGAGGCAGCCGAGAAAGGAAACUCCGAGACCCCGAAAGGGGUGACUCACCCGUGAUUCAACCGCGCCGCGGAGCACCGAGCUGCCCCUUCGGCGCAGGCGGAUCCAGGUGCUGCAGAGAGCCAGGCUGCCCCACCGAUCCCCGGAUGACCAGCCUGGGUGGCUUUCGAAGAAGAAAGGAGUCGCGUUGGAGGGACCUGAGUUGAAAGUCAAGGGAGCCUUACUUUCCCUGUGCUUUCCAUGUAGUCUGCGCCCCUAGCAGAAGAUGUAUCAGGGUCCCUAAUAGAACAGGGCAGUUCCAGGCUCUGCCUGAGCACCCAGUGGUUAGCAGAACAUUCGGCCAGUCCCUUGGUACAUUGUGCAGGGCGGUGCAGUAAAUACACGUGUCUGCCAUGGACAAGUGCCCUGGAUUAGAUCUAAAGGCCACUUGGCAUCCCCUCCCCAUACCCACCCCGUCCCCGUUCCGGUUCCCAGCUUCAGAGGAUGACUGGGGAACUGCAGUUUAAAGUCCGGGGAGAAUUUGAGCAUGACUUUUGUAGCCAAGGGGUUCCAGGAAGGAUGGUUCUCACGUUGAGGAAGACAGCUGUGGGUUUAGAGGGAAUUCCUCCCAAAUACAGAGAAACAAAAAAUGAAACCGAAAAAUAAGUAACAUUCGGACUUCCA